AAAGUCGUAACAAGGUUUCCGUAGGUGAACCUGCGGAAGGAUCAUUAUCGAGUAAACCGAAGUGGGCUGCGCUGGCAUUCACUUGCAUGUGCGCGCUCGCUCUCGUCCACUCACCCCUGUGCACUUUUGGAGGCUGGCUGGAAGGCUUCACGGUCGGAAGGUCGCCUCUCCCUACACAAACUCUUAACAGUAACAGAAUGUAACUUAUUUGCUUUAACGCAUAUAUACAACUUUCAACAACGGAUCUCUUGGCUCUC
rnacentral:misc_RNA from 1 species